rnacentral:SRP_RNA from 1 species
GCCAUGUUGGUGUGCUGCGUGCCUGUAGUCCCAGCUACUAGGGAGGCUGAGGCUGGAGGAUGGCUUGAGUCCAGGAGUUCCGGGCUGUAGUGCGCUAUGCCCAUCGGGUGUCCGCACUAAGUUCGGCAUCAAUAUGGUGACCUCCCGGGAGCGGGGGACCACCAGGUUGCCUAAGGAGGGGUGAACCGGCCCAGGUCGGAAACGGAGCAGGUCAAAACUCCCGUGCUGAUCUCUACAGAAUAUUUUAUAAAAUUGCCACUCAAUUUGAAUGUCACUGCUAUCAU